GCGGAAGCGAUGAAAGUGCAGGCAACGAGAGGCACCUGUACCCAUGUACAUAACCUCUUAAUCAACAAGAGCCACUAUACAAAUCGGCGUCGUGAGAUGCGAUGCAUUUAUACGGUAUUUAUUAGAAGUGCAAGUGCGAUCGAACAAUGUCUCACAACUAAUACGGUAUUUUUGAUGAUUCGCUCAGAAUGAUGCACAAUACAGCAACUUUAUCGCCCCAAGAUAUCUUGGCCGAGGUUAGGAAAUUUAUUUCCGGAACCGUUAGGCCUUCUCAUAAUACAAAUACGCAAGAUAUGACACGUACAGCGUUAUUUCUGUUGAAAAAUGUACCAGCCACAAGAGCUGCCGUGCUCGAAUAUUUUUGUAACGUAUUCUUUAUCGCAGUGACAAAAUAUGUUCGUCAGAUCGAGACAAAUCAAGCUAUAACAAUACCAGAAGAAAGUAUUAUAGCAGAGAUUCAUUCUGUUCUGAGCGGUUUUAUCAAUGGAAAUCCAGAAGCAUGGGCACCUAUCAUAUCCGCAUGGUCGUUGGAACUGCUUGGGAAACUGUCAUCAGAUUAUUCAAAACGUGGUAAUUUGCCAGCAAAAGCUGGCAUUAAUGAUUUUCUGCAGCAAUGGAUGUCAUGCCGUGCAACACGAACUCUUAUAGAUAUCACGUCUCAAUGUUUGCAGUGUCUUAUACAUUUUGACACAGAGUCUUGCAUCAAGGCUUUGUUAGAUACCAGUGUGUUACAUAGCCCAUACUUUGAUUGGGUUGUUGCUCAUGUGGGAAGUUGUUUUCCAAAUACUGUGAUUACUAGGGUAUUGUCAUGUGGUUUAAAGGAUUUUUGUGCUGGUGGUUAUGAACAUAAUAUCAAGAAUUCAAAGUUGAAUUCUGUUGUUGGCAUAUUAGGACAUUUAGCAGGCAGUCACUCUCAAGAUAUCAGAAGCGCAUUGUUGAAUUUAUUUGAGUGGAGUUUGGUUGAAGAUGUAAAUCUUGAUGAUGAUACCAGGAAGCAGAAACUGGCCACAGUGCCAUUCCUUUUGAAUCUAGCUUCACUGUCACAAACUCUCUUAAAAGCUCUCACCAGUGAUGUGUUACAAACGUUAAAACCAGACAUCAUACCGCGUCUCGCGUUGUUUGCAGCAGAUUGGUGUAGAUACUUCGAGAACCAGCCGGAAGCGCUGAUAGACUUGACGGUACAUUUAGCAUUGGGAUGCGAACAAGGCGCGUUGCAGAUAAUAAAUAUGCUGUUAGACACUAGCUUAAACACGAGCAACGUCGGCUACCACAGCGUCAAUGCCGCGCAAAAUGUAAAGAACAUUUGUCGGGAAAUAUUAGAGUUGAUGCUGCAAGAGAUCGAUCUUACGUUGAGAUCACACGGCCCUCAGACUGCCAAUGUUGCUCUGUUGAAUUCCAUCAAGCAAGAUAUAUCGUUGUUAACGCCAAUGUUGUUGAAUUCCAACCCAUUACGCGUACAAACCGCUGUUAGACUAUUAUGUUUUCUCAAAAGCCAAAACCAAAAUAUAGUAAUUUCUAUGGCGGCUUAUAUGCUGGUGAAGGCGCAAACGACGUUUCAUCUUGCCGCUUUGUUGCGUCUUAUUACCGGCAACAUCGUUUUGUUCCCCGUGAAUAAAUCCGGGUCCGAAAAUAUCCUUGCUAGUAGUGAUCACUUCACGCUGGUUCUGGAGCAAGCACUCAGAGAGAUAUAUUAUAAAAACGUUAUAGAUAAGGAGGAAUUGAGACAGUUAUUCCAAAAUCUUAUCAUACUAUUGAAAUGGGAAAAGUCGGAUAAAGCAGUGAUAUUGCAGUCAAAGAUGAUCACCAGGGCGCUCAGAUCGAAUUUACACCAAAUAUCUUGUUUGUUAUCAAAGGCUACUGACUUUGAUUUGGCGACCGACAUCGCUGUUCUGCUCGAUCUGCUAAGCACACCUGAAAAGGAUCAUACUCUCAAUGUGGAGCUUAUGCUGAGACUAACGAGAGCGUUCAUUCAUUAUUUCUACUUGUGCAUCGAACAAACCGAUAUUAUCAAGAAACAGCAAGGAGUAAAAAUAGUGUGUCAUUUGUUGAAGGAUCUGACUUGUUAUUCUCCGUGCGCGCGCGUGUUGGCACUUAGAGAGAUAUUAGGAAACAGUAUUAAUAAUGAGCAGGCCAAGUGUUUUGGGGCGAAAGAGAAAUUUGAGCCCCAUUUUGAGGAAAUGUUACUGUUACAUCAGAACCAUAAACAGGUGACAAGCACCAUGUUGGCACAGCGACAUUCGUCAGUGUUUCACGCCGGUGUGAUAGGACACGGCCCACGGAGACCAUCGCCUGAAAACGCUAUCGAAAAGGAGAUUAUUGCUUCGAAUAAAAUGUUACUGAUAGACGUUAUAAAGGCAUGUUGCAGUAAUCAGGAGUCGGACCGAUAUCCUGUCAACUUGGACGCUCUGAUGAUGGUCAGUUUGUUGUUGGUCGAAUUGGUAUCACCUGACGUUAUGUACAAUGGUCUUCCAUGGCCUGAUGAGGAAUUCACCAAGGUGACGAUCGAGAGAGAUCUGCAAAUCCGUCGCAAGUUCAAGGACGUACCUCUCCUAUGGACGUUGCUAGAACUGACCGCCUGGUAUAGACCAGCGUUGGCAUACAGCUCGGUCUUGUUGAGAGGAAUCGCUGCGACUGUCAUGGCCAACUGGAACACGGAAGAGGGUGUUUCGCUCGUUAAUACAAUGGCACUGGGUCAAUUAUUACCGCCGCCAUUAGCGAGUAUCCGAGAUAUCUUGCCUGUGUUGGAGCCGCAUCAGAUAAAUACGGUGAUGAAGGAAUGUGUAUGGGCGUACAUGCGCGAACAUGUACCUUCCCCAGCUUUGUUCACUCGGACUGAUGGCUCUAACAUAGCUUGGAGAGACACUGACACGUCAACACCCAAUACGCGCUUUACGGAUACUCUUCGUUUGGUGCUGCUAGCAAAUAUUCACACUUUAGGAUCUUUGUACUCGACGUUAUUUUAUAAUGAGAACAAGUAACGAGUGUGUGUGAACAGACGUCGCAUUUCAGACGGGAUUUAUAUUGAUUUCGAUUUGUAUAUAGUAUUGAUAAGACGUUACCCGAAUCGCGUCUCGCAUCAUUUCAUGUUGAACACCAUUAACAGUAAGUACAUUUGGACACUCAAUGUUUUUCUAAUACAUUGAUAUUCUAUAACAAUACUUAUAUUUCGCGUAACUUUUUCUCCUCUUUUAUAACAAUCCUACUAUAAAGUAGAAAAUGACAAUCACACUAUAUAAAAUAGGAAGUAAUCUUUACUAGUUUCUUAUAUGUGUGUGUAUACAAUUAUUUUUUAGAUAUAUAACGUAUUACACAUAACGCAUGGAUGUUUUCCUUCUUUUCUUCUUUGCGAUGCAAUCUUUUCUAUUGUACGAUUCCCCGUUUCUUCAUACUUAUCCGUUAAUAUGAGCCGUUAUCUGCUCAUGUGUGGAAAUAGAAAUCCGAUCUAUAACCGAUCCCUUAAAUACAAAUACUCGGAAAAGGACCGUAACGCAUAGCGCGUAACAAAAUAUCAACGAAGUCUACGGGGAGGGAUAAAACAAGGUAGACAAAAAAAAAGUAUAUUUUAAUUUUUAUAAAAGCACAUUCUCUCCUAAAUACAUAUAUAAGAAACAUAUUAAUUUACUUUGUUAUCAUUAUAUCAAUACAGGAAUGACGGUGCCUAAGAUGAACGAACGCUGUUCGAAUUGCUGCACGAAUUACCCUAGGUGGGUGUCUCGUCCUGACAAAUGACUAUGCCAUCGUACGCAACGAUUUAAUUCAUACAAACAUCGCGAUCUUGUUCGCGCGUCGUUGAGUCUUCACGUGGCUCUGUGUUUCAUACAGA